AAGUCGUAACAAGGUAUCCGUAGGUGAACCUGCGGAUGGAUCAUUACCAAAGGGUGAUAUCCGCACGUAAUGUGAACAGUUUUUGGUGUAGGUUGGCUUGGCUGUUUGGCUUUGCCGCCUGCAUCAUCACGAACCACGUAUCUAUUGAACUGAAGUCUUGUUUAUAAUUGAAACAAUAAACAACUUUUAGCAAUGGAUCUCUUGGCUCUU
rnacentral:misc_RNA from 1 species